rnacentral:rRNA from 1 species
UACGUAGGUCCCGAGCGUUGUCCGGAAUUACUGGGUGUAAAGGGUGCGCAGGCGGUCUUGUGCGUCAGAAGUGAAAUAUCACGGCUUAACCGUGAGGGUGCUUUUGAAACGGCGAGACUUGAGUACGGGAGAGGAUGAUGGAAUUCCUGGUGUAGCAGUGAAAUGCGUAGAUAUCAGGAGGAACACCGGUGGCGAAGGCGGAUCUCUGGGCCGUAACUGACGCUGAGGCACGAAAGCGUGGGGAUCAAACAGG